rnacentral:rRNA from 1 species
GACGAACCGUGCGAACGUUGUUCGGAAUCACUGGGCUUAAAGGGCGCGUAGGCGGGUUCGAAAGUCUGUGGUGAAAGCCUCCAGCUUAACUGGAGAAGUGCCAUGGAUACUGCGAACCUGGAGGAGGGUAGGGGCAUCUGGAACGCUGGGUGGAGCGGUGAAAUGCGUUGAUAUCCAGCGGAACACCUGCGGCGAAGGCGGGUUGCUGGGCUGACACUGACGCUGAUGAGCGAAAGCCAGGGGAGCAAACGGG